CGAGCACGCGCGUGUGGCAUAUCAAUAAGCGGAGGAAAAGAAACUAACAAGGAUUCCCCUAGUAACGGCGAGUGAAGCGGGAAGAGCUCAAAUUUGGAAUCUUCAAGGUUUUACCUUGACGAAUUGUAGUUUAAAGAAGUGUUUUCUGUUAGUGGAGUGGCAAAAGUUCUUUGGAAUAGGACAUCAUAGAGGGUGAGAAUCCCGUAUUUGGUCAUUCCUCCUAGCGUUGUGAUACACUUUCAACGAGUCGGAUUGAUUGGGAAUGCAGUCCAAAAUGGGUGGUAAAUUUCAUCUAAAGCUAAAUAUUGGCGAGAGACCGAUAGCGAACAAGUACCGUGAGGGAAAGAUGAAAAGAACUUUGAAAAGAGAGUUAAACAGUACGUGAAAUUGUCAAAAGGGAAGCGUUUGACACCAGUGUUGUUUUUCCGAAAAUCAAUUACGAAUGUUUUGUUUUUGAGGAGUUAUGACUUCAUCGGCUUGCUCCUUUCUUUACGAAACUUUCUUAAUGCACUUUUCGGUUAACAAGUCAACAUCAAUUUCUUUUGUUGUAAAAGGGUAUGAGGAAGGUGGCUUUCUUUUCGGAGAAAGUGUUUAUAGCCUUGUGCCUCUGCAAUCGGAGAGAUUGAGGUCUGCAGCGUAGAUCCUUCGGGGUUAGAUACGUUUGUGCUAAGUUAUAGCUUUUCAUAGACAACUUGUUGACUAUGUUUAGUCUUGUAGCUUACUCGCUGACGCUAUUUUACCUACGCUUAGGAUGUUGACGCGCGCGCGUGCUCGGCUCUAUACAUGACUCUGUGCAUAUCAAUAAGCGGAGGAAAAGGUAUACCUACGCUUAGGAUGUUGACUGCAUAUCAAUAAGCGGAGGAAAAGGCCGCGGAACUGAACGACCGCUACCUACGCUUAGGAUGUUGAAGACUCUACAGAGAUA
rnacentral:rRNA from 1 species